rnacentral:rRNA from 1 species
UACAGAGGUGGCAAGCGUUGUUCGGAAUUACUGGGCGUAAAGCGCACGUAGGCGGCUUUGUAAGUUAGAGGUGAAAGCCUGGAGCUCAACUCCAGAAUUGCCUUUAAGACUGCAUCGCUUGAAUCCAGGAGAGGUGAGUGGAAUUCCGAGUGUAGAGGUGAAAUUCGUAGAUAUUCGGAAGAACACCAGUGGCGAAGGCGGCUCACUGGACUGGUAGUUGACGCUGAGGUGCGAAAGCGUGGGGAGCAAACAGG